ACAGGAUUUCGCCAUGUUGCCAGCUGGUCUCCAACUCCUGAGGUCUUUGUGCAGUUGGAAUCUAAUUGGAUCAGACAAUGCUCAAGGUUCCCUCCAGCUCCCUAGUACCACAGCUAAUUAGCAGAAAUUCUACUUUAAUAAUACAGUUGCUGCAGGUCAAGAAAGAAAAGCAAAGCAGAAAUGGAAAUCUCAGCUUAGAGAACAUUGAAAAAAGAUUAGAAACUUAUCUCCCCCAACAUCACCUACAAUUCUGAGGGGGGAGAAACAGAAUAUCUUCUUCCAAGAAUUCUUAUGUAUUGCCAAGAUAAGCAACAAUCUCAAGUCUGUGGAGACGUAAUAAUCAUCAAGAGUAUCUGCCUGGAAACCCUGUUGCCUGGAGACCACUUUUACUUUUUUUUUUUUUUUUUUUUGAGACGGAGUCUCGCUCUGUCGCCCAGGCUGGAGUGC